AUCGCGGCGCGCGUAACUCCGCGCUCCCGCCACAGCGACCCCUGCAGGCUUGGCGGGGAGGCGGCAGCAGGAGCGGGGAGAGGCGCCCGGUGGCGGCCCGGGCUGAGGACGGAGGAUGACGGGUUCGAGCCCCGCCGCUGGCGGACCGCCCACCCGCCAGAGGCCGGCAUCCUGCGGGGCUCUGCCAGGCCAGGUACGGGCUCUUUCCGUGAUAACUUCACGCUCUGAGGCCGAUGGGAGUCGGGUGGGCCAGCAAGGUGCCUUGGGGGUCCGGCGGGAGGCGAGGCCCGUGCACCUGAGGUGUUGUGUUUGCGCCGCCGGCCCUCACGGAUGGAGCGAUUCCCGGGUUUUGCCAGGCUGGAAAAGCUGCGUGAGGGUGGAGUUUGGCUUCGUGUGGAACAAAAGGGUGUAUGGGAGCUCCUUGCUGCCUUCCCUGGUCUGCCUUGCUGAGUGGUGCUGAGGCAUCGCUAAACUAAAGCUGAAUGGCACGGAAUAAAAUGACGGAAUGUUGGGGAAGUCUGCUCUUCAGUCGUGUGUGUGUGUGUGUAAAGCUUUUACGUAAAGCUGAUUUAAAAAUCCCCAUUAAAAAGGAAAUAAGCGAGGAAAAAAAGAUCUGAGAUUUCUGUUGGGAUGUUUUUAAAUCCCAUUGCCUGCAAUGAUUUUUGUGCCUUUAUAGAACAAAGCCUGUGCCAGAGACGGAGCUGAGCUGUGCUCGUGUCACACGGCUUGUGCUGCUGCAGUAACAAUAAACACAUAAAACUUGCAGUCUCUAUUCUCUGUUUCACAGGGAUUCACUGAAAACCCAAAAGCUCCUGAUAAUGCAGAGCUGCUCACAGGGUUUAGGCACUGAUGUGUCUCAGAACCCAGCUUCAGAUCUACAAGAGUUGCCUUUCAGAGAUGCUGAGAAUCAACAGAUUAUCAGGUGAUAGGUAUAUGGGCAGAGCCUAAAGCAAUCAUGCCAAACACAGAACAUAACCUGGACAGAAUGGUUCUUACUCUCCUUAAGUUUGGGUAGCUAUUUAUAACAGCAGAGCAGGAAUUGCAUUUGGUAGUGUUGUACAGACAUGUAGGGGAUGUAAACACAUGGAAAGGAAAGGUGUGGGGAGCACAAACCCUGUAACACACAUUUUACAGAGCCAUCAUUCACCAAAUUUGGGUCCAGGUCUUCAAGUGGGACAUGGGUGCACCUUCUGAAAGAGCCUCAGUAAAAAACCCCAUUGUAGCAAUUUUUUUUUUUCCCCAUAACCUAGAUGAUUCCCAGGAUCCAUUUUAGGAUGCAGCUUCUAAAACUGUUCUAUAGGCACAAUUUUGGAGGUGACAAACUGCAGCAGCCAGGACAAAGAGCAGAGAGGGAUUUCAUAACUGGCCUUGCCUCUGAGGGAGAUGGGAUGUGUCACAAUGACAGUUCUACACAGCCUGGUACACAGCUCUGCAUAACCUGCUCCUGGCUGCACAUCUUCAGGGUUUUGUCAUCCCUGCCACUGCCACCACCACCUAUGGCCCCACAUUGUGCUGCCACAGCUGUUUGUGACUCUGCACUGGGGAUGGAACCAAUGCUGGCAUCAAAAGCAGCACCAUUUUUAGCAACGCUUUUUUUAUUUUACCGAGAUGAGUUCGGUUUUCUAGUUUAAUCUGUGCAUUUGGUAAUGCUGUUGUGCUGGCACAGCUGUUGAAAAUGUACCUUUUUUUUGGUGGCAAGACAGAAUAUGGGAAUUCCUACUGGUUCUGCUGGAUUGCCACCAAAAAUGAGGGGCUGGAUAUGAACCACCCCCCUGUCCCAGUUGCCCUGAAAGCAGGGCCAGUUGCUGAACUCUCCACAAUUAAGAAGAGAAGCUAUUUCUGAGCCCCAGGGAAUGUCUGAUACCUGUUGUUAGUGCACUGCUGUGCUCUGUUGUUCUCCUUUUUGCCUGGAGAACAGAACAUUUUCUUGACAUGUUUGGAAAGUCAGUCAGACCACUGCAGCUAUUCAGCUGUAAGUUGUAUUUGAUGUAUGUCCAAAACUGUAUUUUUCAAGUGAGUUCCACUGAGUGCAGUAAUAGUAGAAAUCCUUCAAUGGGCUUUUUGUUUGGUGAAAUAAAAUGAGCAGUUGUUUAUCACUGUGUGGAGUGUUUGGUAUGCAGCCAAUAAUAAUUUAGUAGUUAGUAAGAAUUCUGCUAAAACAUACAUACUUAUCUUGCUUUCUUUGCUUGAGUUUCUGCUUUCUGCCAUGCAAGAAAUCAUUCCAACGGUCUUAACAGCCCAUUCCAUCCCUUGCAAAUGAAAUGUGGAAUGUGUAAAACCUCAUUUACCCUUUCCUCAGUCUCUCUGUAUAUCCUUGCUGUAUUCCCUAGACCACCUUAGAUAAUGUCUUUUUUUUUUUUUUUUUGCUUGGGUUUAAGGCCAUAAAAAGCCAUGAAGCAAUAAUGUAAGUACUCGUGUGAUGAAGACUUUUCAUGUGGGUUUUCCUCAGGCCUUUUCCCCUCAUCCAACCUGUAUGUACAUGAUUAAUUAUCUCUCUUUGAUCAAGCUCCUACACGCAUUGCCACUGCAAGUUCUGCUUCGUAAAGCUGUGUUCAGGCAUCUGGGUUGUGCUUUGUGCUCUCUUCAGGUUUUCAUCUGGUGUCCUCCUUUGCAUUAAUGACAAACUGAAAUAAAAUCAUGGAGAAAGUACUGCAUUAGAGCUUAAAAGAUCUUAAAAUAUCGUCUAUGGAGAUCUUACAACUCCUGCAAAGUUCAUGGAAGCUGCAGCUGCUUAGCAUCACUCAGGGUCAGACAUUUGGUUUCCUGUUCUUCACAUUAAUGCUUUUAUUCUAUCGAAAGCAGGUGCCAUAUUCUUUUUUUUUUUUUUUCUUUUUUGGUAAAACUAUUUUUCUCUCCUGGAUCAGGAAUUCAGAUAAGAGUAUUAAAUUCAUUAAAAUAGUUAUCAGUCACCAUGACAUACUACUGGUGGGUAAAACAAGCUGGUCUUCCCAGCUAAAGGAAGCUUUGUGUAGAACACUGUGCUUUAUCAUGCUAAAUUGUGGAUUAGAUGGGAAACAAUGGGACAAACCGAUCUCAGUUAUGCUGCUCUAAAUCCAGAGUCAUUCCAUUUAUUUCAUUGGAUUUUAAAAUUUUUUUGGGAUCUGUAACAGUAUAAUUAAGAGCAGACUUUGGUGCCGGGAUGAUAAUCCUGUUCUUGGACCGGGAGCAACAGAAAGUCAGAGCAGUAAUUCAGGUCUGAGAGAGUGCUAAUGAGGAGUUGGUUACAAGGCAAUUAUUACUGCCAAGAGUGCUUAAUGCUUAAAGGAGAUACAGUUGCUUCUUUCAAAAUAGCUCCAACCCAGCCCUUAGCAAAGUGAAGGAGAAUCCCAGGCAUUGUGAUUAUACAUUCCAUUCUUAUGUGUGUACGGUCUAAAGCAGCCUGGGAUUUGUACUGAUGCAGACUUUAAUCACGCGGGGCUAUUUUUUUUUCCCCUUUGAAAGGGCGUUUAUGUGCAUAGGGAUGCAGAUAAAUCUUGAAUACACCGAGAUUCGAGGUCUUGACUUCUCGCUGGCUCCGGAGUCUCCGUGCCCAUGAGAACCGAGGCUGCAGCGGGAAGCAGUUGGUGCUGCCGGAUGGGUUCUGACACGCCGCUCUGAGCCGCAGGUUUCGCUCCCCAGCUCCCCAAGGAGCACAAAGCACGCGGCUCCCUUUUAGGGGUUUGAUGUUUUACGCAGCUCGGCUGAAGGUUUUGCCAGGUUGAGCCAUACACAGGAAUUUCUGUGGUGUGAAGGAUUUCCCUGUGGGUGCAGAGCAGGCAUGAAGGGUCCUCUGGAGCUGAUUUGGCACAAUUUCCAUUCCAGGUGAGGCCAUUCCAAGAUGAGGCUGCUCUCUGAUGAUCCUCCCCUGAGAGAUGGCCCAUGAUGAAGGUUAAUUAGCCACCAUCAGUGGAGAGUUUAUGCAGGAAAAAGGAUUUCCCUCUGUUGGGCUGCUCCCCAGCUAAGGAGGCCUGGUCUGUGGCCAGAAGUACUUUGCCUUUAAUCCCCAAUUUCUCAAAGUCAGAGGAAGAUUCCCACUGAUGCCAAGAACAGGACUCCAUGUUGAGAGACUCCUCAAAUGAAAGGCUUAUUUCGAGACGUUUCCUGUGGAGUAACUGCUGCUGCUGCUGAGAGGUGCAGGGAGACAUCCACAGUGCUGAAGGGAACGUAUGGAAGUGUCAUGGCAAUGACAGGCAUGAAGCCAAAGGCUGCCAUUAUCUCUCCUUCCACCCCAGAGGAGCUAAGCAGGCAGUGCAGAGGGAGAGCAUGGCACCAGCAGCUCCAUCCUCCAGCCCCUUGGGUGCUGCCAGCCAGGUACUCUGAAUGUGGGCUCUGAUUUGUGUCUCACGUGGUCACAGCUUCCAACCCUUCCCUUUGCUUGCACGAAGAUUCCCAGUAAGCUUUGUAAAGGCAUGGGGAUUCUUCAGCAUUUAUUCCCACUGUGCCAAAGACACCAGAAACCAGAAUUCUGCACAACACUCCCAUUUGGACAAACCCACUGUAAAGAAUCUGUCUUUUGAAGUGAAUAUUCAGCAAUCUUGGCAUUUUGAUGGAUUAUGGAAGAUCACUGUUUCCAACUAAGCAUUUCUGUCUUUCCCUACUAAUGACCACCCUUCUGCAAUUACUCCAUAGUUUCUAUACCCAUCUGUCACAGCCAUAAUUUAAUUUAAUUUAACAUUAAACAAAAUUUUUCUUUACAGAAUAAAGGAGAAGAGACAAUGAAGAUAAAAUCUGGGGUGCUUAGUACGAAUUUUUUAAAUUGCCUUGUGGAUUAACAGGAUUGUCUCUGCUGUUACAUUUAAGUCCCCUGAAUACACUUGGACAAGCCUUUCCCUGGUUCCUAGAACCAGCCAGAACUCCUUGGUACAGUUGCUGUAAGAAUGCAGUAGCUGGAGAGGAAUCAUUAAACAAGUGAGGUCAGCAUCCCAGGAGAGUCUGUCUGCAGAACUUUGUAGGUAAAACCUCAGCUAUGGAAAAUUCUCAGCUUUUGAGGAAAACCUGUUGUGAAGGAUUUUGCAAAAGUACACACAGCAUGAUGUAGGAAGAGAAAUGCAUUUUUGGCUGCUUGAGAGCCCUCACAGGAACCAGUAAGAUGUCCAAAAGGUCUAAGAAUUUGAGCUUGUGAAGCUGAGCAAUUUUGUCAAUUGCAGCUGGCUUCACAGAAAUCUUAGAUGAGGAACCAAAAAUGCAAGGCAGUCUCUUGUGUGCUUAUUUAAUGUAAUUAAUUAAUGCAUUUUGAACCACUUUUUUUUUGGUGCAAAGGGAUCUUAAUUAUAGCAUAAAAUUCAGCUGUAAUUGAUGUAGAAGAUCUUCAUAUAAAUGAAAAGAUGAGCUGCUGUGUUUGAAACUGGAGGGAAGAAGAAAUGCCCUGCUGUAAGGUGACAGUUUGUGUGGGUUUGAUUUAUGUUAAAGGUUAACUGACACAAACAGGACAUGCUCAGGUACUUGUGGAGCACAUGAACCAGCAUUGCUGUCCUGGCUGAGGCUGUAAUGCACUGAUAAUGAGGGAAACUUGCUUAUUUCUGUGACUUAAAAGAUCCACUCCAAAAAUUGCCUGAAAAUGCUGCAAAUGAAGAGGUUCAUAGAGAAAGCUCGUGGAUCUAGCUGUGCUCAAGAAGAACUUCUGUGUCCAACACCUUCCUGCAGCCUACACCACACUGAUCUUCCCAAAAACAUCAACAGCUUUGGGCUUUCCUCAGUGAUCUCAAUGUAAGUGGAAGCAAGAGCACUUCUUUCUUAUUUAAUUUAAUAUGAAUGCAACCAGAAUUUAUUUACUAGGGUGAAAUUUCCUACAUCUCUGUAGAAGUCACAGAGUAGGAUUCCAAAGCAAUGCUUUCAGUCCCAUUUUCAGGUUCAGGUUCAAAGGCAACACUUCUUGUGGCGUGCUUUGACCUAACAUGAUGUAAUUCAUGCAUGAAAUCCCCCUGGGAUUCCCUGGGCUGGUUCAUCUUCUGAGCUUUACCUGACUCCUCUCCCUUCCCAAGCAAACCCUGCAGCCUGCUCUGAGUUACCACAAGUGUGAUCAACCUGAAAGGACCCUUGUGAGACAGGAAUCCCUGUGCUUUGCUGGGACAGGAGGCACAUAUCUGCCUUCAGCUGUCCUCUGGACACUCCAUCUGUCCCAGAUUAUGGAGAAGAAUGUGAAGUUCAUGAUGGUUAUUGUCAAAUGAAUCUUGUAAUGUGUUUGCUUUAAAACUCCCUUUGUGUUUUUCUGAUGAAGUUAAGAGAUGGAAGGGGAAUGCAGAGCAGCUUUAUCAGAGUAACUGGCCUCCUUUGGUUUUAAAGCCAAAAUUAAACAGAUAAACGCAAAGCCCACCUCUACAAUGGCAGACUGAUUUUGGUAUUAUAUUUUCUCUGGAUUUGGUUUAGAGUAAUGGUGUUAUGUUUAGAGUGAUGUCUAUGAAACAUGAUUAUAUGGUAAUUCCUUAAAAAAAAUUUAAUUCAUUCCCUGCCUUUGUAGAUCAAUGACUUGUUAUUUUCUCAGGACAAAUGCUGAUGAAUUCAUACAGCGUUUUAUUAAUUUUUUAGCAUUGUAACCUCCCCACCUUCUUGCUGAAGCCCCAUUUCAUUUCCUGCUCCUGUUCUCAGCCAUUUCUCCAAAGGAGCACACAAGGAUUGCCCUUGCUGCUGGGUUCUAGGAACAGGCUGGCAACCUUGCAUAGCUUCCCAUUUAAUUGUGCAUUUUCCACCUUAUCCAUCACUUCUUGUGGAAAGAGAUGGGUAUCUUACCUUUCUAGGAUUUUUAUCUGAACAUGUUAUUACCAACACAUCAGGUCAUAUUUGUAGAAUCACAGAAUCCUAGGCUGGCUUGGGUUGGAAGAGACCUUGAAGACCAUCUAGUUCCAACCCCCUGCCUUAGGCAGGGACACUUCCACUGCAGCAAGUUGCUCAAAGGCCCACCUAAACUGGCCUUGAACACUUCCAGGGAUGGAUGCCAAGAUCCAGGUGCAGGACCUUACACUUGGUCUUGUUGAGCUUCACAAGGUUCAGGUAGGCCCAAUCCUGUCAAGGUCCCUGUGCUGUCCCUUCCCUCCAGCACCACUCAGCUUGUGUCCCUGGCAAACACACUGAGGGUGCACUCCCUCCACAGUCCCUGUCCCUGAUGGAGGUGUUGGACAGCAGCAGCCCCCACAGUGACCCCAGAGGAGCACCACUCAUUGCUGGUUUCCACCUGGACAUGGAGCUGCUGAGCACAGCUCUGGGAGAGUGACCAUCCAGCCAAUUCCUUAUCCACCAACUGCCAGCUUCACCAGAUUGCCACAAUUUCUCAAAUAGGAUGGAUAGUGGCACCUCUUUAUCCACUGGUGCCCUCAGGACCCAUGCACCUCAUGCACCUCCUCAGGUUCCAUGGAUUUCACACCUUCACACUCCUCAGAUGCUCUGGUACCUGUUCUUCCCUUACACUGGGGGGUUCUUCAUUCCCCCAGUCACUGCCUUUGCCUUCUGUGACUUGGCUGCUGUGGCUGGAGCCCCUGCCGCUGGAAAUGGAGGCAAAACCAUCAUUGAAAUCUCACCCUUCUCCAUGUCCCACCUGGGUAACCAGCUCUUCCACUUCCUUCUGAAGUUGGCCCACAUUUUCCUUGGUUUUUCUUUUAUCAUCAAUGUACCUGUAGAAGCCUUUUUUGUCCUCUUUGGUGUUCCUGGCCAGGUUUAUUUCCUUUAGGGUUUUGGUUUUCAUAAUCUGAUUCCUGGCUACAAUUCUGUCUAUAUUCCUCUCAGGCUACCUGUUCCAUCCUCUGUAGACUUCCUUUUUCUGUUUGAUUUUGUCCAGGAGCUCUUGGAGGAUUUUAUUGAUGACUUUAUGAAUAUACCAACCCUAUCAGAUGCCAAUGGUUGUGGCUGCUAGCAGUUUAGGAUGAUUCUAAACCAUGAACAGGUAAGCAGUGGGAGGGUUUUAUUUCUUUGUAGAUGUGCCAAUAUCCCAGUACAGUUGUUUUAAUAAUAAUAAUAAUUUAAAACAUUGCAAAGCUGGCAUUUCCCCUUCACCCACUGGUGUAGUCACAGCAGAAUGAAUGGAUCAUUGUUAGAAGAGUCAUUUCCUUGCACAAAGCAGCCUCUAUUCACAAUUGGAAGUUUAGAAAUGUUCAAUCAGUCGUGACAAUUAAAUAAAAUUAUUGUCUGAGCAUCUCUUAGGGUUACAAAUCAUUCUGUCUCCAGUUGGUGCUACCUGUGCUUUAUUAGAAAUCCACAGAAUCUUUAAGACUGACAACAACUCUAGUGGAAACAGUCUCUUGAAAUAUGAUUUCUCUUUCCAUGUUCAGAAGCAAAGAGCAGUUGUUUGUACCUUGAAUAAAGAAUAAUUUUGUGUCCUCGUCCUCAGGACUAGAGACAUGGGAGGGAGCUUAGAACAAAACCACAAAGUGUCAGUGGAAGCUUCUGAGAAAGUGAGCUAUGGGAACAAUGAAAAAUUUGGUUUGGUGACAAAAAGCAGUUGAUAUUUUUGGGAUAGUUGAUGUCUGAAGAAAUCUGUGAUAAAAUUUACAGCUAUUUAGAAGAGAAAAAAAUCAGGGAAGAUAGAAUUUAUCUAGACACAGUAAGCCUAAGAGAAACAAGGGAAGUUUUACAAAGAAGAACUUCUGGCAGUAAAAUGUAUUCCAGAUAGCAGAAAGUUGUUUUUUGAAUACUCUGAAAAAAUCCUGGUGGGGAAUUUUUAUUGGUCUUUUCCUACCUCUACUUAUUUACACUCUCCAGAAGAUGAAUCCUUUCUUAUUAACAGUAAGAAAGGCCAGCAUUCAGCAAGGAUUUGGAUGUAGAGUCUCCAGCAGCACUGUUUAAUGAGUGUAUUCUUGGAAAGCACUCAGUUGACCGUAGUAGCUGAAUUCCUGACUGCAGCACUCCAGGCAGUGUCAAACACUCAGGAUGAGUUGUUUAGAAAUAAACCUGUGACACAGGAAAUAGGCUACGAGGUGGUUCUGUGCUGUCUGAGGGUGGAAGGAGCUGGAGCAAAUCCAUCACUGUUUAUGUGGUUGUAUUUGUGACACAUGGGAGCUGAACUAACAGAGGAAGUGCAGAAUAAAUAAAUACUCAGCAGAGAGUGAUUAUGGUUAAGAUCCCUAGUCCUGUGAGCGUGACUUAGGGCCAGUUGCAAGGAAUUCCUUCUCAUUGAUUUUAUAGAGUAUAUCUACAUUCUGAAACAGUUUCCAGCUAGUUAUAGUAAUAAUAAUGGCAUGUGUUAAUGUUGUAAUCUCUUAAGAGCUCAUUUCUUCACAUGUCUUUUUAUAGAAACAUUAAUUCUUUUGGCAAAAAAAAUUUGUGAUGUUCUUUCUAAAAUACUGAGGAAGAAUAUUUUUGCAACUGCUGCUUUGUAUAUUUUGGGUCUCAUGCAUGAUUUAUCACUUACUAAAUUUGAAAUCCAAAUUAUGGAACUGGCUAUAGCUAUUGCCAGAAAGCAGAAUCUGCAGUGCUGGAAAAGGACUAAAAAGGUUAUCAUCUGACUAAGCUGCAACCUUUCUUGGAACAACAUUUGUAUUGUAGGUUACUAACAGCUUUGCAAUCCACAGGUGCUCCCUCACAAUAGCAAAAGUGUUGUAAUUCAUCUAUAAUCAGGACAUUAUUUUUACUGCAAGUUAUUCUGACUUUGCAGUCAAUGGAAACUAACCAGCUAUAGUAAAAGUGUUGUCAUUCAUCUAUAACUGGGACUGUACUUCCAUGGUAAGUUAUUCCAACUUUGUAGUGAAUGAAGACUUACCAGCAAUAGCAAGUGUGCUGUCAUUCAUCUAAAAUAGAAGGGAGGAGAAGUGAGAAAGAUGGACAAAAUGCAGAGCAAUGUAUUUGCAAAGGAGUCUGAGUGAAAUAACCCCAGGGUAGUGCAAGGAAAUGGUAAGUUGGUGAAAUUCAGUACAGCUGAAAGGCCACAGCUUUUCCUUUGGCAUCUGCCUGCCUGAUCUCAGACAGGAUGAAGGGGUGCAGGGCAGUGAAUGUGCUCUGGUGAAGUCAAAGCUCACUGGGGUUGUAGAAGCUGCUUGCAGAGCUCAGUGCACUUUAAGGUAGGGUAAGUAAGGUAAGUAUUAUCUUAUAUAUUACUUAUAUACCUGAGUAUUUUAAAGCUGGCUUGGACAUAGGAGAUUGCAGUGCAGACAUCCCAUACAUAGCUUUUCUAGGCAAGAAAUCUGCCCUUUUUUGUGCUACAAGAGCACUGUAGGCACUUAACAAUUAUUAAUUAUAACUAAUUAAUAAUGGUCCAAAUCCUUGGCUGUGAUUGAGGACUUCAGAGAAUAACUCAUCUAGGGUUGUAGGAAAAGAUGGCUCAAAACAAUCUUAACCAAAUCCUGGGCCAGCUUUGUGCCUUGACUUUGCUCCAGCAAAAGAUAAAGCAGCAGGGUACAAUUUGUUCUAAGACAUUAGCAAGGGAGAGAGAAGGACAUAAUGAAUACAUUUUAUUGGUAAUGCACAAGAAGAAUGCAGAGUGGUGGCAAAUAAGACUAUUAGGGAAUAAGAGUAUAAAAUUAGAUGGAAAGGAAGAGAUGAGAUUGGUCAAUUCCACUAGUCCUAAAUCAACAUUUCAUCUCAGAAACCACAAAAGUCAGCAGCUGAGUGGAGGCGAAUGAAAGACUAGGGUCAAAACAACAAUCAUAAUUUAUCUGAGUGUCAGAAAAGCAUUUUUACACUAAGUACACAACACAUUGAUUUACACUUGAUAGACAGUACUUACACAAAAAGAGACUUCAACCCUCCCUGAAUAGCCUGCAGAACAAUACAGAUUCUUUUCAUGGUAAACCUAGGGGGGGAAAACAAUCCCUUUUUAUACAAGGAAUUUUCACUUAAGUAUUUGAGUCUACUGGGAACAGCCUGAAAGACACAUGCCACACUCCCCACUCACAUCUCCAGAGGCUGGUGGUUUGAUGUGCUGAUGCUAUUUGAUAGUGUGGGGGGCACUUUUAGGAACCUUGGUGGAAAGAAGCACAGCAGAAAGCUUCAGCUGUUGGUUUCAUCCCUCUUUGGAGGUGCCUGAUGGAAGAUCCAGGAGUUGUUUACUUGCACAACAAGGAGCAGGGUAUGCUGGUAGGAAGACCAAGUUUCACCUUUGGGAGUCAAAGGACUGUGUUUGAUAGCAAAAGAUUUGCUUCCUUUGCUGGUCAUGUUGUUUUUGCCUUUUUUACAACAGAAUAAAAAUAUUGUUCCUUUAAGAAAAGACCUUCUUGGCUAUUGUUGUUGUUAUCUGCUGAGUCAUGCCAAUAAUUGUUUAUUUUAGCAUUCCUAGAGAAUUUUAGAGAUAGUUUACUCCCCCUUCCCCAGAAGGCAGUUAGGAAAAACUGUGUAAUUUCAUAAAUAAAAUAAAACUAAGGAGUUUUUAGUUGAGAGCAUUUCCUUUAAUGGUCUGCUAUGCAACAGUUCAGCAGUCGGCUGACUCAUGGCAACCUGAAAUUGAAAAUGACUUGGGGUUGAGGGAAAGAG